rnacentral:lncRNA from 10 species
UUGCACAUUAAUCAUUAGAGACACCCAGCCGCCCAUUUCCAUGUCCCAGUGCGUUUAUGAGAAACUUUCGCUGCUGUGCAACAGAGGUGCCAACAGCCUCCCAGAGAAAUCCGUAGAAGGUGCACUAUGGGGGAGUGUCAGGGUCACCUUAGCUGUAGACAAAUGGUGUAGAAAGGAGGUCCUAGGAAGGGAGGUGAGGGAACCAAACAGACUCUGAACCCUCAAGCAGCAGUUUCCAGCCAAACCCAAGUUAUGAUAAUAAACAAAAUCAUCAUGUUGCCUAGGUAAGACAAUAGGAUGUUUAAGAGUUGACUGGGGCCAGGCAUGGUGGCUCAUGCCUGUAAUUCCAGCACUUUGGGAGGCCGUGGCAGGAGGGUUGCUUGAGACCAGGAGUUUGAGACAAGCCUGGGAAACAUGGUGAAACCUCAUCUCUACAAAAAAUACCAAAAAAAAAAAAAAAAUUAGCCAGGCAUGGUGGUGAGUGCCUGUAGUCCCAGCUACUUGGGAGGCUCAGGUGGGAGGAUUGCUUGAGCCUGGGAAGCAGAGAUGAGUGGGGUGUGCAUUUACAGGAAUGGGGGGACUUGAACGUAAGGUGG